GAUCCUGGCUCAGGAUGAACGCUAGCUACAGGCUUAACACAUGCAAGUCGAGGGGCAGCAUGAACUUAGCUUGCUAAGUUUGAUGGCGACCGGCGCACGGGUGAGUAACACGUAUCCAACCUGCCGAUGACUCGGGGAUAGCCUUUCGAAAGAAAGAUUAAUACCCGAUGGCAUAGUUCUUCCGCAUGGUGGAACUAUUAAAGAAUUUCGGUUCAUCGAUGGGGAGUGCGUUCCAUUAGG
rnacentral:rRNA from 1 species